CUCUGAGACGUGGACUGUCUACUGCAGACACCUCAAAGCCCUGGAGCAGUUACCACCAACGCUGCCUGCGCAAGAUCCUGCGAAUCCACUGGAAAGGAAGAUGCACCCACACCAGCUCAACCAGGCCAACAUCCCCAGUAUCAAGACACUGACCACCCUCCAUUGGCUGCGAUGGGCUGGGCAUGACCGACACGAGACUCCCCAAGCAGGAGCUCUACUCCCAGCUCCGAAACAUCAGGCAAGCCCCAGGUGGACAGAGGAAGCGCUUCAGUGAUCCCCUCAAGGCCUCACUUGCAAAGUGCGGCAUUCCCACACACACCCGGAGGAGGAGCAUCCAGGAAGGCGUCGAGAACCUCGAGGCUUGCCGUCGGGAAAAAGCGGAAGCCGGGGGAAAACAGUCCAUCGUUUCUGGAGAACUCGAUUGGAUAUUGACCGUCCCACACCUUGUAAACUGACAGAUAGACUGACACACCAAAAACAUGUGAUCUUCAGAUAGUCUGUGAUCCUCAGAUAUUCUGUGAUCCUCAAAAUGAGAUUCCAAAGAACUUAUGUUUUUCUGAUGACUUAAAGUUGCAAUAACUUUAAGUCCCUUAAAACACUUAAAACAUCUUUUAAGUUAAGUAUGUUUUCAUUGUUUUGCAUGAUCAACAUGUGUUUUCUUUAUAGUUCAAAUUUGAAUAUUGAAGUCAUCCAGAAACAUACAAAGUUACAGAAGAUGCAGAAUGACAUAUAGUAUGUUUAAAAUGUCUUUGCAAGCUAACAAUUAGCUCAACAUUAAUGAGAUUGCUUUGAGGACAUGAUAUGAGACUCAGUCAUGGCUCAGUUGGAUGUAUUCUUGACUUAGAAGAUCACAGUAAUCGAACUGACACUGUAAUGUAUUACUGUGCCUCACGGUCAGUGAUGCUGUCUUUCAGCCUAAAUAGUAAACUGAGCCUCUACCUUCUCUCUUAAGGGGUUGUCACCCCAUUGUCCUAUUUUGAUGAAGCACCGAAGAAUUCACCCCAGCAUCCUGAUCAAUAUUUAUCCCUUAAUCAACAACACUGAAAACAAAUAAGAACAUAAGAACUAGGAGCAGGAGUAGGCCAUCUGGCCCCUCGAACCUGCCCCGCCAUUUAAUAAGAUCAUGGCUGAUCUUUUUGAGACUCAGCUCCACUUACCCGCCCACUCACCAUAACCCUUAAUUCCUUUACUGUUCAAAAAUUUAUCUAGCCUUGCCUUAAAAACAUUCAGCGAGGUAGAUUCAACCACUUCACUGGGCAGGGAAUUCCACAGAUUCACAACCCUUUGGGUGAAGAAGUUCCUCCUGACCUCAGUCCUACAUCUGCUUCCCUUUAUUUUGAGGCGAUGCCCUCUAGUCCUAGUUUCACCUGCUAGCGGAAACAACCUCCCUGCCUCCACCUUAUCUAUUCCCUUCAUAAUCUUAUAUGUUUCUAUAAGAUCUCCCCUCAUUCAUCUGAAUUCCAAUGAGUAUAAUCCUAGUCUACUCAGUCUCUCCUCAUAAUCCAACCCUUUCAACUCUGGAAUCAACCGAGUGAAUCUCCUCUGCACCCCCUCCAGUGCUAGUAUAUCUCUUCUCAAGUAAGGAGACCAAAACUGCACACAGUACUCCAGGUGUGGCCUCACCAGCACCCUAUGCAGCUGUAGAAUAGCCUCCCUGUUUUUAAACUUCAUCCCUCUAGCGAUGGCAGACAAAAUUCCAUUUGCCUUUUCAAUUACCUGCUGCACCUGCAAUCCUACUUUUAGCGAUUCAUGCACAAGGACACCCAAGUCCCUCUGCACAGCAGCGUGCUGCAAUUUUUUACCAUUUUACCAAAUGAUCAUAUCUUCAGCACAUUGUUGGAGUUUGUUCAAAUGGCCCCUGUGCCAAUUUCUUACCAUGUAUUAUAUGUGAUAAUAGUGAUCAGACUCAUAUAUUUCAAAAAUAAAGUACUUUUGGCUGUAGUGGACUCCUAUAGUCAGGAACAGUAGAAAUACGAAUCUUUAUUUUUAUAUGAACAGCUCGAACCUCCCGUGGGAAGAAGAUUUAAAGCUGCUGACAAUCAUCAGAGACUGGGUUGGCUCAAUAAGGGUAUAAGAGCAACACAAAGGUUAAAAAAGAAAAUGGAAAGGCAAUAUAUAGCAACAUACAAUUCAGCUCCUGUGAUAGCUGCUUGAUGACAAAUCUUUAAUGGUCCAUGCAUUACCUGGUCUUGUCAGUCAACCUUUUUCAGUAUUCAUCCUUGUAGGGUGCAUAAAUGUCAAAGCAAUUUCCCUUUCCUUGGUGGGUAGGUUGUGAAAUCUGCCAAAGGUCUGCCUGAAUCCACAAUUUACUGAAGCCUAUGUCCAGUCGUCGAUAUAAGUGUUAGGAUUCCUACAGCUCCAUGGGUUACCAAGUCAGCUUCUUGUGCCUAGGACAUUAGCCACCAGCUCACUGUGUAGGUGCGAUGCUCAGAGAGAGUGUAUCAACGUGAUCCUGCCCAAUACUUACUACCCUGGUCAAAUCAUUGCUCGCUGUGUGUUGCGGAAACAUGGGACGAGACUAAAGCCUCAAUUUCUGGCCCCAGCGACUGAACAGCCUAGCGCAGUUCACCCUGAAGGGACGAGCUAUCUCAAUAACUUGAACAACAGGUCACCAUCCCUUGCUGCUCCUUUGCAACAAAUAAACAUUGCACAUUUUACAUAAGGUAGGGUGAGAGAAACAGUCCAUAUUUGGUACACACACAUGUCAGUGCCUUGACCAGAGCUACCUUGCCAAGUUUGAAAUAAAUGCGUUCACGAGGACAGCUAAUGGUUCCUGCUACUCCUCUGUGCCAAACAUUCUUUGGCCAAUCUUCUCAUGCAGUGUAAGUCCUCUAUUUUUGUUUAAAUGCUCGCGGAUCUGCCUACCCGAAGAUACCACCAUGUUCAUUAAUAUAAAGAGAUGCCUGUCAGAUACCAACUCACUUGGAGAUACCAUAGAAAUCAGCCAGUUCCUCAGAGAUCCUUCAAACACCAUGUGUAACAGAGUUGUUCUCUUCAGCGUCCCAUUGCUGAUCAGGUCCUCUCGAGAUCCAGGGAAUCUAGGGCGAGGGAGGGACUAUGAAUAGCAGUAUCUCUUAGUUAGCAAAGACCAUUGAAAAUUGCUUGUUGCUGACCAAGGACAAUUUUUGCACGUACUUGAGGUCAAAUUUGUGACAAAGUACCUUUUCAUUUGUGUGAGAAAGGGAUGCAUAUUCCUAAGAGAGGGCCAUGACUGGAGGUGGUCAUUCCAACAUUCAGCUAUCUGGUAGCCCAGCAGUGGAUCUGGGGUUUUGGUUCAGAAGAGGACAGACCCCAGGGGUGAUUGCAAGGUCGCAAUGCUAUCCCCUGCUGAAGAAUUGGAGUAAUUUCAAAGUGAGGAAGGUGGCAAAAAGCCUUGAUGGGUUUUGGCCCUCUGCGUUUGAGAAUUUGGGGAGGAAGGUAUGUCUCAACGUUGAAGUCUUGAAGGCCCAGACCUUAGUUGCAGUCUUGCAAUGGUGCCAGAGUGUGUUUUUCAAAAGCAGUUCUCUCUGAACUCAUCUCAAAUCAUGAUGAUGACUCUUGUCCUUGUCUUGACAGCUGCUCUCAUCACCCCAAGAGGAGAACUUAUAAGCCCCUUGAACUCAGAGACCUGAUGACGAAGGUGAUCUAGAUGUUAAAAUUGAUGCAUUUUUGACAUUUCGAUGACCAAUGGCAUAAAGGGUGCUGGAAGCAGUGGAGUCCCAGGCUGAUGAAGAGUGCCUGGAGUUGUCCAUCAGGCUGCAGAGGUUUGACACACAGUGUGAGGUACAUGGAGAUUCAACAGAGAUUCCAGAGGGUUUUCAUCUAAUGGCAUGGACUUUGGAGCAUCCCAUCAACAACAGACUAGUGACUAUCAUGUCAGGCUAAACCCAAUGGCUGAAGUGAUGGGAUACUGAGCAUGCCCUUUGACCUGCUGUGCAUUACUUAGGCUCUGAAUUCCAGUAUACAGAGCCAGAACAAGAGGUGUACAAGAAACCUGGAGUCAUGUCCAGCUCCUGGUUUCUCUCAGGUAUGUAUGGAGGGCCAAAUGGGCUUAAUCAUAGAGGAUGAGCAGCUAUCAGGGGUACCUUUCAGGGUGCUUCUAAUGGGGAAGCCUCUCCUCUGCCUCUCUGUCCAUUGGCAAAAAUGCCUCUGACUGCCAUAUUGCCAUAUAGCCUUCAUGCAGAACUCAUUCAGCAUACCAGGACCUUCACAGUCUCAGGUAACCAGAGGAUGCCCACCAGAGGCAUCCAAAGCAAAGGGUCAUAAGGUCAGCAGUCUGUCUACAGUACAGCUGGUAUUGAGGGAGAAGCAACAAGCAACAGGAACUAUUCCAGAGGACACCUCAUUAAUCAGACACACUUUCAUAAAGGUGCUUAGUUGUAAUAGGUCUGAAAUUCCUAGAUGCGUUUCGUCAAUAAAUAAUCAUGUGUUAUGUUUGA